AUUGAACGCUGGCGGCAUGCCUUACACAUGCAAGUCGAACGGCAGCGCGGACUUCGGUCUGGCGGCGAGUGGCGAACGGGUGAGUAAUACAUCGGAACGUACCCUGUUGUGGGGGAUAACUAGUCGAAAGAUUAGCUAAUACCGCAUACGACCUGAGGGUGAAAGUGGGGGACCGGAAACGGCCUCAUGCAGCAGGAGCGGCCGAUGUCGGAUUAGCUAGUUGGUGGGGUAAAGGCCCACCAAGGCGACGAUCAGUAGCUGGUCUGAGAGGACGAUCAGCCACACUGGGACUGAGACACGGCCCAGACUCCUACGGGAGGCAGCAGUGGGGAAUUUUGGACAAUGGGGGCAACCCUGAUCCAGCAAUGCCGCGUGUGUGAAGAAGGCCUUCGGGUUGUAAAGCACUUUUGUCCGGAAAGAAAUCGCGCUGGUUAAUACCUGGCGUGGAUGACGGUACCGGAAGAAUAAGCACCGGCUAACUACGUG
rnacentral:rRNA from 1 species